AGGAAAUCUGCAAUCUCUCCCCCUGAGGUAAGGGAGAAGAUAGGGCAUGGGAAUCCAGGAAGAACCUUAGUAGGCCUGAGAGGGGAGUCUGACUAGGAAGGCUGAAGAAUGAAAAGCUUGGAGAAGCACAGUAGAAAUAGUGCAGGGGUGAAAGCAGUAAGGUUAGUGUAGCUGCAAACCUGACCUGCUCGCUACAGGGCCCUGGACUGGAUCCCAGUGUAGAGGACGGGUUGGGUUCCCCUAUCAUCCACUGCAGAAUGGGAUUGCUAGUGGCAGUGAAGGGGAAGACUGCCUGAGUCACUGUGGGAGUGAUGCAGUCAGUGCAGUGGGCAUGCGGAUGCCAGUGCAGAAGGACUCCGAAAAAACUUGCCCGGAAGGGGAAAACAGAGAGUGACUUGGCCGGAGGGCUGAGUCAUGAGGCAGCCGUACUGUGAGAAGAAAGGGGACACUGAACUGGGCGGAGCUAAUCACCAGGACACACCACACAGCAGAUCAACCUGUCCUCUGGAAGGCAAGAUUUCCUCCCCUUCUUGUGCAUCGUGUUAACAAUGGAAAGGUUCAGCUCUGCAGAGCAUGUAUUGGCGAGAGUCUGUUCAAGGCUCUGUAUGGGCUCAAUCUCUCACCCAUUUGAAGUCCAUGGAAGUGUUGCCUGUGAGUUCCCAGGAACAGGAUCAUACUUUAUAUGAACAGCUGACAGGGGACAGUGGGGGAACCACUAAGGCUUCCCUUGGUUAUACAGGGAGAAGAGGAGAGAGGGAGCUUCCUUGAAGCUUUACUUAAAGCACCUUCACAUGUUAUAACUGAUCUCAGCUGAGUUUUCUUCCCCAAUCAAGCAUGGAUUUAGUGGCGUAAGGAGAAGAAACAAGUGGCAGGAGCAGAUGAACUCUCAAGAAGCAGUGAUCCUGUUGCCAUUCACACAGUCUCAGUAAUAUAGAUUCACGAAAGAGAAAUACAAACAAUAUAUGCUAUAUAAGCAGAAUUGCCUCUAAGUAGCAAGCUUUUCAAAGACUUCCAUGAAAUGGCAGGAGUUCUCUAAUAGAUAUGUUUUUAAAAGGCUGUCAGUUGAAAUGGGAAUGGUAUUCCAGAUAUCAUCUGUCUGGUUCUCAAGACAAAGCAUAAAGCAUAACCUAGUAUAUAAAUGUCACAAUGAAACAACUGGUGCUAAUUUUCCAGUUAUAAAUGAGUAUGACUAUAUUGCCUUUGCACUCCCUGAUGACUACUAUCCAAAAGACACGUUAACGCAGUUGAAGCAACUAUUUUCUCUCCUGCUGUUAUGACAACUAGGAUCUUAACUUUUUAGAACUGAUGAUCUUGCAAGGAAGUCAAGAAACUAAAGAAUGCGUGUCAGCAGUGAUAGAUGCAAAGUACUGUACAGGAGCUUAAAUAGUUUUGAGUUAGUAUGUCUAAAAGAGCCUGGAUUGUUUAAAUGAGCCUUAGCAUAAACUACGUGUUCCAGUGCAUUCUGCGUGGAUCUGUGCAGCCAUUCAGAGCAAACCAUUUUUUCCGUUCGUGAAUUCUCUGUUUUUCAUAAUUGUUCACUUUUUGCCUGCAUUUCAGCCAAUGGGUUGUUCACAAACUACUUGUUUUGACUAUAUCCUCAACUAUUUCUCUUUUUAUUCAUAAUUUGUGGUAUGUGAUUGGUUCCUACAUAACAUGAUAUUGUUUCUGUUGCCUAACUGGAUUAUUGAAGUGUUAUAAAGGAUGUGAACAUAGAGGAAUAGCAUAGAAUGAAUACUCCCACUUGUAUGUUAAUACCUGUGUUCACAUGAGAAUCUCUGCAUCUGCAUGAAGUACAACCAUUUCCCAAAAGUGUGUGAACAAAACCCUGCUUGCACCAACGUUCUCAUGACACUGACUGUGGCUAAACCAAACAGCUAUUUGGGAGUUGACCUGAAACUUGUUUUGUAGUAUUUGUCCGGCUUGAACUAUGAAGAUCAGAGGAAAAAGUUGGACAGCAAAUCUUCAAGCAGGGAAAUUCUGCUGUUCUUUGAUAACUGUUCAGCACACGUGACUCAAAAUCAUUCUUCUGCCACCAAAUUGUACAAGGUUAAUUUGUCUAGUGUAUCAAUGCCUGAUCCACAACUGCAACCUACAUAAUUAAAUACAAUUACUGUUACAUAAUCAUUCACACUGCUCAUACCGAUCAGAAAGGAACUGUUAACCCUUCAAGAACCAUCCUGAGCACUUGCUAAAUGAAGCGUGUUAGACAGCAAACCAGAGACUCUUUAGCACUAUGCUUUUCCCCAGACCUUGAACAGCCAUUAGGUAAUGAUCUCACGUAUUAGGAACCCCUUUGCUGGUAUGACUCCUGAACUUCUGAGAAAUGAACAGCAGAACAAUGCUUCAGUGAACCAUCAUACAGAAACCACUGGCAACUAAAAUAUGCAAGGAUGUAAUGCAGAAACUGUUCUCAAGAGGUGGUGGCAUGACGAUGGACACGUCAUUCUGUCUGAUACUCGAGGGGAUGCAAAAUAUGAUCAACAAGAUCUGAUGUGGUACAGAAAACUGAGAGACUGAACACUAGGUAGUUUUUAUGAAUCUGAAUCGUGCCUGGAGCUUCUGUCUGACACCGCUGGAAAGUAAAUUGAAAUGACUUUGAGAAAUGCUCCUCUGAUCCCUUCAAAGAAAAGAUUCCAGCUGAGUUCAGUUGGAGACUUUUCCUGGGCAAAGGUUACAAGACAUAGCAGUUUGAGUUCUCUUAUUCAAGAUAACAUGCUUUAGAUAAUAAUCAUCAUACUCUGCUUUUAUUAUUAUGACUCUUUGAUAAAAUAAUGAAUAAAUCAUUUAUA